UUGAAUGAUUAUUUAAUUAUAUCUAAAAACUCUGUAGAAGCAAAUUGCAAAAUGAGCUUAUAGAAAGUUAUUUGGAGGGAGACAAAGAACAAAAGAGGCAAUGCAUUAAACUAGCGCAGACUAUGUGGAAAACAUUUCCUAGAGGUUUUAGGCACCAACUCGAGACUACUAUGAACUUGACUAGAGAUGGAGAACCGAAGAAAAAUAAGAAGUAAAAGGUUAUUGAAAUUGACGAAUCGUGACGAAUCGAAAUUUCGACUGUUCCUUCAAUUCGAUUCUUUUUUCGUUAUUUUUGGAUAAAUUUUUGCAAAUGUUGAGAAUUUUCGUUCAUUUUGAAUAAAAUUUGAAAUAACUAUCGCUAAAA